AUGACCAGAAAGAUGUGCAAAGCAGAUAUAAAGGUACUUCAUGCACAACCCCAAGGCAAUGCCAGGAGCCUUAGCACAGUGGAUCCGAGAAGCACCAAACGCGAACGCCCCGCACCCGCUCGUCCCCGUCCCACCACCUCCAAGGCUCGGAGAUCCUUCCCGGAUCGCGAAGCCCAGAACGAUCCGGUGCCUCUCAGCGCAUUUCCCUCGGCUGCCGUCGGGACCGCCGCAGCCCGGCUCUGCCCGCACUCUCGGCUUUGGUUGUGUCGGAGCCUCCGCUCCCAGCGAGGUUCUUUGAGAAUAAAAGAGUGCGUUUGUGCCCAUUAUUCAUAUCUCGGGAGUCCCGGGCCUUCACUACGUUAAAAGAGCCCCGAACGGACAAUUCGCCGUCCGCAGAUAUUAUAUCUGUGAAACGCGCCUUUGUCGGAGCUUUUAACACCUUCUUAUAACGAAUCAUUUGUUCUUUUCUCUUUAAUUUUGAUAGACAAUUAGCCAUCAAAUAUACACCAGUUGACUGUAACCGAGCAUUAAAGUGCCCUUUAUUUAACGCUAAUUUAGCAUGGCCGCUUUGUUUCACUUUGCCAUCCGCGGACCAGGUUUUGUGGCACAAAUAGGUGCAAUUUGGGGGCUCCCCGUCCCUCCCGGCCGCGGAGCUGCGCUUUGUGCCGCGGAGCGGGGCCGCACCGCGCCGAGCGGCACCUGGAGCCGGGGCAUUAGCAUUGAUAUGGAGUUAGUUGCGAUGUAAUCUCCUAAAUCUGCCCGAGAUUCGGGGAGAUAAUUACACUUUCGCUGAAUUGCCAGGGGUCAGCGUCUCUGUGGACCUGAGGAGUUGAUUUACUAACAAUGGUGUUACAUAAAAAAUGGUGUUUGAGAUUAUAAUGUUAAUGGAUGCAGCCACUGGGGAAAGCGGGCGGGCUCGGCUCAUUCGAUGGAACUCGCUUCGUGCUUUACACCGAUUCAAAUCACAGCAGCAUUUAAUUUAGAGGAACGAGUUCGGCGGUAAUUACAGCGCGCGGAAAGGUCGCGGAGCCGGAGGAGGGGGUUUGCCCCAGGUUGGGACGCGGGGUUCUGCGGAUCGGAGCUGCCUGAGCCUGUGCCCGGCCGCAGCCGUGGGGCCGCAGCUCUGCGUUUGGCAUCGUGGGCCCAGCAGAAACCGGCUCGGAAUAUGAAGAAGAAUUAAAAGAAAAAUGAAAUGAAAUAAAAUAAACAAAUAGGUAGAUAAAUAAAUAAAAAGGAGAGAAGAGAGAGGAGAGGAAAAAAAAGGAGAGGAGAGGAGAGGAGAGGAGAGGAGAGGAGAG
rnacentral:lncRNA from 1 species